UGUGAACUCGAAGAGUAGGGCGGGACACGUGGUAUCCUGUCUGAAUAUGGGGGGACCAUCCUCCAAGGCUAAAUACUCCUGACUGACCGAUAGUGAACCAGUACCGUGAGGGAAAGGCGAAAAGAACCCCGGCGAGGGGAGUGAAAAAGAACCUGAAACCGUGUACGUACAAGCAGUGGGAGCACCUUCGGGUGUGACUGCGUACCUUUUGUAUAAUGGGUCAGCGACUUAUAUUCUGUAGCAAGGUUAACCGUAUAGGGGAGCCGCAGGGAAACCGAGUCUUAACUGGGCGUUAAGUUGCAGGGUAUAGACCCGAAACCCGGUGAUCUAGCCAUGGGCAGGUUGAAGGUUGGGUAACACUAACUGGAGGACCGAACCGACUAAUGUUGAAAAAUUAGCGGAUGACUUGUGGCUGGGGGUGAAAGGCCAAUCAAACCGGGAGAUAGCUGGUUCUCCCCGAAAGCUAUUUAGGUAGCGCCUCGUGAACUCAUCUUCGGGGGUAGAGCACUGUUUCGGCUAGGGGGUCAUCCCGACUUACCAACCCGAUGCAAACUACGAAUACCGAAGAAUGUUAUCACGGGAGACACACGGCGGGUGCUAACGUCCGUCGUGAAGAGGGAAACAACCCAGACCGCCAGCUAAGGUCCCAAAGUCAUGGUUAAGUGGGAAACGAUGUGGGAAGGCACAGACAGCCAGGAUGUUGGCUUAGAAGCAGCCAUCAUUUAAAGAAAGCGUAAUAGCUCACUGGUCGAGUCGGCCUGCGCGGAAGAUGUAACGGGGCUAAACCAUGCACCGAAGCUGCGGCAGCGACACUAUGUGUUGUUGGGUAGGGGAGCGUUCUGUAAGCCUGCGAAGGUGUGCUGUGAGGCAUGCUGGAGGUAUCAGAAGUGCGAAUGCUGACAUAAGUAACGAUAAAGCGGGUGAAAAGCCCGCUCGCCGGAAGACCAAGGGUUCCUGUCCAACGUUAAUCGGGGCAGGGUGAGUCGACCCCUAAGGCGAGGCCGAAAGGCGUAGUCGAUGGGAAACAGGUUAAUAUUCCUGUACUUGGUGUUACUGCGAAGGGGGGACGGAGAAGGCUAUGUUAGCCGGGCGACGGUUGUCCCGGUUUAAGCAUGUAGGCUGGUUAUCCAGGCAAAUCCGGAUAAUCAAGGCUGAGGUGUGAUGACGAGGCACUACGGUGCUGAAGUAACAAAUGCCCUGCUUCCAGGAAAAGCCUCUAAGCAUCNNNNNNNNNNNNNNNNNNNNNNNNNNNNNNNNNNNNNNNNNNNNNNNNNNNNNNNNNNNNNNNNNNNNNNNNNNNNNNNNNNNNNNNNNNNNNNNAACCAAGGCUGAGGUGUGAUGACGAGGCACUACGGUGCUGAAGUAACAAAUGCCCUGCUUCCAGGAAAAGCCUCUAAGCAUCAGGUAACAUCAAAUCGUACCCCAAACCGACACAGGUGGUCAGGUAGAGAAUACCAAGGCGCUUGAGAGAACUCGGGUGAAGGAACUAGGCAAAAUGGUGCCGUAACUUCGGGAGAAGGCACGCUGGUGUGUAGGUGAAGUCCCUGCGGAUGGAGCUGAGACCAGUCGAAGAUACCAGCUGGCUGCAACUGUUUAUUAAAAACACAGCACUGUGCAAACACGAAAGUGGACGUAUACGGUGUGACGCCUGCCCGGUGCCGGAAGGUUAAUUGAUGGGGUUAUCCGUAAGGAGAAGCUCUUGAUCGAAGCCCCGGUAAACGGCGGCCGUAACUAUAACGGUCCUAAGGUAGCGAAAUUCCUUGUCGGGUAAGUUCCGACCUGCACGAAUGGCGUAAUGAUGGCCAGGCUGUCUCCACCCGAGACUCAGUGAAAUUGAACUCGCUGUGAAGAUGCAGUGUACCCGCGGCAAGACGGAAAGACCCCGUGAACCUUUACUAUAGCUUGACACUGAACAUUGAGCCUUGAUGUGUAGGAUAGGUGGGAGGCUUUGAAGCGUGGACGCCAGUCUGCGUGGAGCCAACCUUGAAAUACCACCCUUUAAUGUUUGAUGUUCUAACGUUGGCCCCUGACCGGGGUUGCGGACAGUGUCUGGUGGGUAGUUUGACUGGGGCGGUCUCCUCCCAAAGCGUAACGGAGGAGCACGAAGGUUAGCUAAUCCUGGUCGGACAUCAGGAGGUUAGUGCAAUGGCAUAAGCUAGCUUGACUGCGAGCGUGACGGCGCGAGCAGGUGCGAAAGCAGGUCAUAGUGAUCCGGUGGUUCUGAAUGGAAGGGCCAUCGCUCAACGGAUAAAAGGUACUCCGGGGAUAACAGGCUGAUACCGCCCAAGAGUUCAUAUCGACGGCGGUGUUUGGCACCUCGAUGUCGGCUCAUCACAUCCUGGGGCUGAAGUAGGUCCCAAGGGUAUGGCUGUUCGCCAUUUAAAGUGGUACGCGAGCUGGGUUUAGAACGUCGUGAGACAGUUCGGUCCCUAUCUGCCGUGGGCGCUGGAGAAUUGAGGGGGGCUGCUCCUAGUACGAGAGGACCGGAGUGGACGCAUCACUGGUGUUCGGGUUGUCAUGCCAAUGGCACUGCCCGGUAGCUAAAUGCGGAAGAGAUAAGUGCUGAAAGCAUCUAAGCACGAAACUUGCCCCGAGAUGAGUUCUCCCUGAGACU
rnacentral:rRNA from 1 species